UGCCAGCAGCCGCGGUAAUACGGGAGGGGCAAGCGUUAUCCGAAAUGACUGGGCGUAAAGAGUCCGUAGACUGUACUGUAAGUUAUUCGUUAAAUCCUAAAGCCCAACUUUAGAACAGCAUUUAAUACUACUUUACUUGAGUUUUGUUCGGAAGAGUAGAAUUCCACGUUUAGGGAUAAUCCCCGUAGAUAUAUGGAGGAACACCUGUGGCGAAGGCGACUCUUUAGUAAAAACUGACGUUGAGGGACGAAAGUGUAGGGAGCAAACAGGAUUAGAUA
rnacentral:rRNA from 1 species